rnacentral:rRNA from 1 species
UGGGGAAUAUUGCACAAUGGGCGCAAGCCUGAUGCAGCCAUGCCGCGUGUAUGAAGAAGGCCUUCGGGUUGUAAAGUACUUUCAGUCGGGAGGAAGGUGGUAAAGUUAAUACCUUUGCUCAUUGACGUUACCCGCAGAAGAAGCACCGGCUAACUCCGUGCCAGCAGCCGCGGUAAUACGGAGGGUGCAAGCGUUAAUCGGAAUUACUGGGCGUAAAGCGCACGCAGGCGGUUUGUUAAGUCAGAUGUGAAAUCCCCGGGCUCAACCUGGGAACUGCAUCUGAUACUGGCAAGCUUGAGUCUCGUAGAGGGGGGUAGAAUUCCAGGUGUAGCGGUGAAAUGCGUAGAGAGCUGGAGGAAUACCGGUGGCGAAGGCGGCCCCCUGGACGAAGACUGACGCUCAGGUGCGAAAGCGUGGGGAGCAAACAGG